AGCGCUUCAAGAGUUUCCAGUCCUAUGCAACGAUUUCGAGCAAUAUGGCGUGCGAGAAACGUCAUUCGCGUCAUUGUUUACUUUUUGCAUUCUACCUUAGAAAAUUGGUUUUAAAAUAGUUUGUGCGCAACACUGGAAGAAACUUAUGGAACGUGCAAAAAAUCGUAGCAAAGAUUUAAAACCGAAAAUUUUAAUUUGGAAAAUGAUCGUUCAGGUGCACCGAAAAAGUUAGACGAGUUUUAAUCCUUCGAAGAGAAGAUACGAGCGAAAAUAUAUUCGUAUGUAUAAUAAAUAUACGUAGUUUUUUCGUGCAAAAACUUUUACCAACAGGAUGUGUGCUAGGAUCAAAAAUGACAAAUAUCCCACUAGAAUGAAAAUAAGAAAAUAUAUAAAAUAUAAAAAAUAUAUAAAAAAGUUGUACAAUAAAAAAUAUGAAAUGAUUUUUAUCCAUCGGGAAAAACAGAGAUCAAAUGUAUUGUUCAAAUUCGUUGCAAGAAAUAAAAGAAAGGAUUAAUAGCACGUUCGUUGAAAGCAAGAUAAAGAUGGAAUUCGUUAAGCUUGCAACAACAUUUUGAAAUGGAAACAAACUUCUUUUCAAUAAUAUAACAAUCCGUAGAUAAUAAUAACAUUCUUUUCUUAUCGUAUCUUAUCUUUUCAUUUUAUUUUCUUAUUGCUCAGAACAGAUGCAGUUUCAUCGUUUAACCCUUUACACACGAAUGGUGUCUCUCGGUCAUCACUUGGAUUCGAAUAGCUUCUCCAAGCUCUUUAUGUACAAUCAUACGAAGCGUAGAGUAAUAUAAUGUUGAGAGGUAAAUUUUCUUAUUUUAAAUUGGAUCGCGGAUCGAAUUACAUUUUCCACGUUGGUCCGAGUUUGACGGUAAGUGAUAAUAGGAAUAUCAUUUUCAAUUGUUUUUUGAACAAGGCGAGUUUCAUUUUUUAUAUAAGAAAUAAAAAUAAUUAAACGGUGAACAUUAAGAAGGAUUAUUAUAUAGGUUAAUGAUAAAUCGAAGACGCAUCUUGCCCGGUCGCUUCAUGCGAUAUAUAUAGAGUUUAAUACUCGACAAACUUUUCUUCUCUAUGCGUAGAUACGUUAAUUACGCGCAUGCGCGAAAUCGUUUUGAGGUUAGUUGUAAGAAAUUCAUCGAAACGUGUGGAACAAUUGUCUCGAGAGUUAAUAUAAUAUAUGACGGGGACAAGAAUUUCCAAUCGCGUCUUCGAAACAACGGAAAAGAAGAGUAAGAAAAGUACAAAAUAAAAGCUCAAAGAAGCCCUCGAUAAUUACGAUCAAAGACAGUGUAGUAAUAACCAGCUAUCUCUAGGGAAAAAAGAAGUGGCAGCAAUUCGUUUCCAAAAACCAAGGAAUAACCGUAACGGUAAAUCGAAGAGACGGAUUAGAAGAAGCGGCACAAAAGGGACGAAGAUUUCGUUUAGUUUCUCUCCUCGAAUCGAGAUCCCUGGCGGCGAUUUGGCGGAAGCGGAUCAACCAGCAGUUUUCUUUUCGAGCUCUCGUUUCAUCCGGUCGUUCAACCGGCCGACCGAGAUUGAGGACGGGGGAAGAGCCAUUUGCGUGAUCGGUUCGCUCGAGAUAACGAGGGGAAACGGUCAUGCAAAUGCGAUCGAAAUGGAAACUCGGCCGAAACACAGCCGCUUUAUCGCGACUUUAAUUCGGCCGUAAUUGGUACACGCCGCGCGAUGAUGGGCAACCGGUUAGUCGAUUCAUCGACUGGAAAUCGCGAUGGAAUCAUUACCGAAUUCUCCCGCUGGUGGCGGGACUUAUCGCGAGGUUGUUCUCGAUGUUGCGCAAUUAUCGGUGGAAGGGAUGAAACGGAUGGAUGGAAGUUGGAUCCUGGAAAUUCAUAUCGGAAAAUGUUUUUAUUAUCUGUGAAAGGUUUAUGGAUAUAUAUUUGUUACGUUAUAUUAUCUUGAAUGAAAGAUAGUAUCCAUCGUUUUCUUCCAAUGAAAAAGGUGAAAAUCGAUCGAUGAAGGAGAAUUUCAUAACCUUCAAAAGUUUUUAAAUACAAGAUUUUCAAAGACACGAAUGGAAGAAUAGCAAAGCAAUUCGAACGUUGAAUGAACGCAAAUCUAUUACCAAACCUUUUCUCAUCGUGCAUCUCUGACUUUCUCUAUUAACCUUUUGGCUCACAGAAAUCCAUCGUCUUAUAACAAGUGUACUUAAAUUACGAGGAUUUAAAGUUUUAAAAUAAUAUAUUGGAAUACUAGUAAUACUUUAAAUACAAACUUUCCAAAGAUAUCAAUCGAAGAAUAGCAAAGUAUCUCGAAUGAACGCAAAUCCAUUACCAAACCUUUUCUCGCUGUGUAUUUCUAACUUUCUCUAUUAAUUCUCGCUCACAGAAAUCCAUCGUCUUAUAACAAGUGAACUUAAAUCGAGGAUUUAAAGUUUUAAAAUAAUAUAUUGAAAUACUAGUAAUAAUUUGUAAGUAAUUGUAGCAAAAUAAAAUCGAUGAGGAAGAAUUUCAUAACCUCAAAAAUAAUA